rnacentral:rRNA from 1 species
GAUGAACGCUAGCUACAGGCUUAACACAUGCAAGUCGAGGGGUAACGAGAGGAAAGCUUGCUUUCCUUGUCGACGACCGGCGCACGGGUGAGUAACGCGUAUCCAACCUGCCCCCAACUAGGGAAUAACCUUGCGAAAGUAAGACUAAUACCCUAUAAUUUCCUCAGAUGUCAUCUGACGAGGAAUAAAGAUUUAUCGGUUGUGGAUGGGGAUGCGUCUGAUUAGCUUGUUGGCGGGGUAACGGCCCACCAAGGCAACGAUCAGUAGGGGUUCUGAGAGGAAGGUCCCCCACAUUGGAACUUAGACACGGUCCAAACUCCUAUGGGAGGCAGCAGUGAGGAAUAUUGGUCAAUGGGCGGAAGCCUGAACCAGCCAAGUAGCGUGCAGGAUGACGGCCCUAUGGGUUGUAAACUGCUUUUAUACAGGAAUAAAGUUAGCCACGUGUGGUUAUUUGUAGGUACUGUAUGAAUAAGGACCGGCUAAUUCCGUGCCAGCAGCAGCCGCCG